UACGUAGGGAGCGAGCGUUGUCCGAAGUUACUGGGCGUAAAGCGCGCGUAGGCGGGCCGUUAAGUGAGAGGUGAAAUUCCAGGGCUCAACCCCGGAACUGCCUCUCAUACUGGUGGUCUUGAGUGAGGUAGAGAGAAGUGGAAUGGCUGGUGUAGCGGUGAAAUGCGUAGAGAUCGGCAGGAACACCCAGGGGGAAACCAGUCGACUGGGCAUCUACUGACGCUGAGGUGCGAGAGCGUGGGGAGCGAACCGG
rnacentral:rRNA from 1 species